AUCAACUGUAUAUUAUAUCUUUCUCAUUCAUUGAAAAUUCGCCCAGUGAUCAAUUUUUUCCCCACUCCACCUAAGACUCAAAAUUUACAUAAGCUGAACUUUAACCACUGCUCUACUAUAAUGUCUCCUACAGAACUUCAUACAUACAGAUAUGUAUAAAUGUUGUUUUUUUAUUUUUGUGGGAUGCAGGGGAGAGGAGGUGGAGAGUGUGUGGAGUGUUUGUGGUGGGGAAUUUGUAUGGGGUUGGAAUUGCAUACACCAUCACAGCAGCCAUCAGCAUGAGGUAAUACAUGUUAUCCCCCACCCCCCCUUCCUUUUCCUUUCUCAUGCUUUCAUUUAUUUAUUUUAUUUAUAUAUUUUGAUCCAUCACUCUCUUAUUCCAAUUCUCAUACGUCAUUUAUAUAUUUUUACAUGGAUGCCGUUCGAGUCUAUCUUGGUAGUAGACGAACAUUCUUGUGUGGUUUUCUUCAGUAUGUGAACUUGUACGGGACUCGUGUAGUUUAUGUAAUUACAACAUCUACCAGUAUGAGAGCUAUUCAGAAGUCAAAUUGUUAUCACAGAGAGGGGCAUCAGGCUCCAUGUGCAUAUGGGGAUAGUUUCUAUAUGAUGUUGUUCGGUGCAAUUCAGAUUGUAGCGUCUCAGAUUCCUGACUUCCAUAACAUGGCGUGGCUCUCAGUUGUUGCAGCUAUGACGUCCUUCUCCUACUCUUCCAUUGGAUUGGCUUUGGCCUUUGCAAAAAUAAUAGAAAAUGGGAGAAUUAGGGGAGCCUUGGAGGAGUCCCAGCAGCCUCAAUGGUUGAAAAAUUAUGGACUGCAGAGUUAUCUCCAUUUUUUGCCAGGUAGAGCGCAGAGUUAUAUGCUCUGAAGCAUUUAAAACUUAAGUUUCUCUAGACAGAGUAUGUAACAUAAAUUUAAAGGCUGAAGUGAAACAUUGUAUCUGUGGGAUGAAGAAUACUCUGAAGUCCCCCCCCACCCGAAAAUGAGACUAUGAAGAAGGCUUCAAUGGCUGCAAUACUUUUACCACCUUCUUCUUCCUCUGCUGUGGAUGUUUCGGAUAUGCAGCCUUCGGGAGCUUUACGCCAGGAAAUUUGUUAAUCGGAUUUGGAUUUUAUGAGCCCUAUUGGCUUGUUGACUUCGCUAAUGCCUGCAUAGUUCUUCAUCUCGUGGGAGGUUAUCAGGAUGGAUGAGAAGUUGCACUGAUAGAAGAACUGCUGUGUGCAACCUAAAGAGUACAAAAUCAGCUGUAAAUAAAUAUUUCUUCUGUAGUGGCUGCUUUUGCUGAGCUCAGAUUGCUAACUAUUACAUCAAAAGAAUUAUUUUAAUGUUUUAUAAGGUGUAUAGUCAGCCAGUGUUUGCAUUUGUGGAGCGAUGGUUUACGAGGAAAUUCCCAGGCAAUGGAUUCGUUAACAAUUUCUACACCUUGAAACCACCACUGCUGCCAGCUUUUCGGGUGAAUCUUCUGAGGCUAUGCUUCCGAACAUGUUAUGCUGUGUCGACGACAGCAAUUGCGAUGAUCUUCCCAUACUUCAACCAAGUUCUGGGAGUGUUGGGGGCCUUGAUCUUUUGGCCAUUGACAAUAUAUUUCCCAGUGGAGAUGUACUUUGUGCAGAGGACAAUAACGAGAUGGACAAAGAAAUGGGUUGUUCUUCAGACAUUCAGUAGGUUGUGCUUGCUUGUGUCGGUAGUGGCUUUUGUUGGCUCAGUUGAAGGACUUAUAAGUGCCAAAUUGAGCUAGGAAUUUGAGAACUGUUCUGCAAUGUAAAAUAGAAUAUCCUCCAGCUUUCCUGUUGGACUUGGAAGUUUCAUGUUCAAAUCUUCGUAAUUCAUAUAAUGAGAGGUUAAGGGAUCUGACACGAGGAGGGUGAUGGACGCUUGAGGGGUUCAGAUGAAAUGACUAUUCCUAGAAUUUCAUUUGAGAUUAAUUUUUUUAAUUAACAAUUUACCCUCUUGUUAGUUUAAGUGCGACUCAAGAUGAAUCAAGGAUCAAAGGUUCAAAUUAACUCCAAAUUCAAUAAAAUCUUUCAUUUUAAU